UGCGUAGGCGGAUCGUUAAGUCAGUGGUGAAAUCCAACAGCUCAACUGUUGAACUGCCAUUGAUACUGACAAUCUUGAGUAUCGUUGAGGUAGGCGGAAUUUAUAAUGUAGCGGUGAAAUGCAUAGAUAUUAUAAAGAACUCCGAUAGCGUAGGCAGCUUACUAAACGAUAACUGACGCUGAGGCACGAAAGCAUGGGGAGCGAACAGGAUUAGAUACCCUUGUAGUCC
rnacentral:rRNA from 1 species